rnacentral:rRNA from 1 species
GAGGAAAAGAAACUAACAAGGAUUCCCCUAGUAACGGCGAGUGAAGAGGGAAGAGCCCAAGAUUGAAAGCUGGCGUCUUCGACGUCCGCAUUGUAAUUUCAAGAAGUGUUUUCCGCUUCGGACCAUGCCUAAGUCCCUUGGAAAAGGGCAUCACAGAGGGUGAUAAUCCCGUACAUGGCAUGGAGCGCCCGAAGCUUUGUGAUACACUUUCUAAGAGUCGAGUUGUUUGGGAAUGCAGCUCAAAAUGGGUGGUAAAUGCCAUCUAAGGCUAAAUAUUGGGGAGAGACCGAUAGCGAACAAGUACAGUGAUGGAAAGAUGAAAAGAACUUUGAAAAGAGAGUUAAACAGUACGUGAAAUUGCCAAAAGGGAAGGGUAGGAGGUCAGAGAUGCAGCUUAGGAUUCAGCCUUGCUUUUGCUUGGUGUUUUUCCUAAAUUGCAGGCCAACGUCGGUUUUGGGCACUGGAGAAGGGUGGAAGGAAUGUGGCACCUCUCGGGGUGUGUUAUAGCCUUCCACUGGAUACAGCGACCGAGACCGAGGACAGCAGCGUACUCGCAAGAGCGGGCCUUCGGGCACCUUUACGCUUAGGGCGUUGGCAUAAUGGCCCUCUACCACC